rnacentral:misc_RNA from 1 species
AAGUCGUAACAAGGUCUCCGUAGGUGAACCUGCGGAGGGAUCAUUACAAGUGACCCCCGGCUCCGGCCGGGGAUGUUCAUAACCCUUUGUUGUCCGACUCUGUUGCCUCCGGGGCGACCCUGCCUUUUCACGGGCGGGGGCCCCGGGUGGACACAUCAAAGCUCUUGCGUAACUUUGCAGUCUGAGUAAAUUUAAUUAAUAAAUUAAAA